rnacentral:ncRNA from 1 species
AAAAGACUUAGUCCUAACCUUACUGUUAACUCUUACUAAACAUAUACAUGCAAGUAUCCGCGCCCCAGUGUAAAUGCCCCUGAUUUCUUAUCAAGGUGAUGGGAGCAGGUAUCAGGCACACCCAUAGCUGUAGCCCAAGACACCUUGCCUAGCCACACCCCCACGGGUACUCAGCAGUAAUUAAUCUUAAGCAAUAAGUGAAAGCUUGACUUAGUUAUAGUAACAUCUAGGGUUGGUAAAUCUUGUGCCAGCCACCGCGGUCACACAAGAAACCCAAGUUAACUGUAACCCGGCGUAAAGAGUGGCAUAAACCUAUCACAUCAACUAAGAUCAAAAUGCAACUAAGCCGUCAUAAGCCCAAGAUGCACCUAAAUCCAACAUCAAGAUGAUCUUAGCAUCCAUGAUCAAUUAACUCCACGAAAGCUAAGACACAAACUGGGAUUAGAUACCCCACUAUGCUUAGCCCUAAAUCAUGAUACUUACCCUACUGAAGUAUCCGCCUGAGAACUACGAGCACAAACGCUUAAAACUCUAAGGACUUGGCGGUGUUCCAAACCCACCUAGAGGAGCCUGUUCUAUAAUCGAUAAUCCACGAUAGACCCGACCGUUCUUUGCUAAAGCAGCCUACAUACCGCCGUCGCCAGCUCACCUUAUCUGAAAGUAUAGCAGUGAGCACAAUAGCCCACAUCGCUAGUAAGACAGGUCAAGGUAUAGCCCAUAGAACGGAAGAAAUGGGCUACAUUUUCUAAAGUAGAACAAUACUACGGAAGAGGGUAUGAAACUACCCUCGGAAGGCGGAUUUAGCAGUAAAGUGGGAUAAUAAAUGCCCUCUUUAAGCUGGCCCUGGAGCACGUACAUACCGCCCGUCACCCUCUUCAUAAGCCACAUGUCCUCGAUAUCUAAUAUACCUAACAGGCCAAAGAUGAGGUAAGUCGUAACAAGGUAAGUGUACCGGAAGGUGUACUUAGCAUACC